CCUACGGGAGGCAGCAGUGAGGAAUAUUGGUCAAUGGGCGCAAGCCUGAACCAGCCAAGUCGCGUGAAGGAUGACGGCCCUAUGGGUUGUAAACUUCUUUUGUACGGGAGUAAACUGCGAUACGUGUGCCUUUUUGUAUGUACCUUAUGAAUAAGGAUCGGCUAACUCCGUGCCAGAAGCCGCGGUAAUACGGAGGAUCCGAGCGGUAUCCGGAGUUAUUGGGGUUAAAGGGUGCGUAGGCGGUUUGUUAAGUUAGGUGUGAAAGUUUGUGGCUCAACCAUGAAAUUGCCGUUGAUACUGGCGGACUUGAGUAGAGUUGAGGUAGGCGGAAUGCGUGGUGUAGCGGUGAAAUGCUUAGAUAUCACGAAGAACUCCGAUUGCGAAGGCAGCAUACCAAA
rnacentral:rRNA from 1 species